rnacentral:sRNA from 1 species
GCUGGGCACAGUGGUGCAUGCCUGUAAUCCCAGCUACUCAGGAGGCUGAGGAAGGAGGAUUGCAAGAAGGCCAGCCUCAGCAAUUAUAUGAGACCCUACAUCAA